AUGGAGUCAAUGGCUCUGCUCUCGAACCUCACUUGUCUCACCGAUCUUGUACUGGUGAACUCUGAGAAUUUAACAGUGGAUGGUUUUAAUCCUCCCAUCACAGUCAACCUCAACAGUUUGAAGAUGUACAACAGAGGAAAUUGUCUUAACCGUUCUAUAUCAGCGGAUUUGUUCUCGGAAUUGGUGGUAGCAAGGACCAACCUGUUAUCGCCUGCAGACAACUGUCAACUACGAGAACUUACAGUGGAUUGCAUCUCAGCAGUGCUUGUGGCUCCCAUCUGUAGCCUCCUUGCCGCUACCCUCCACACUUUAGAAUUCUGGUAUGAUCACCGGGCAGAAAGCUUCACGGAAGAGGAAGAGAGAGCUCUUCAGCUCCUCACCUCACUCCGUUUCAUCAAUUUUAUGGAUUGCCCUAAUCUGUUGUGCCUUCCUCAAGGCCUACACAGCCUUCCUUCUCUUAAGACACUAUUUGUCCAAGAUUGUCCUAAAAUCCAAUCUCUGCACAAGGGGGACUUUCCCACUUCACUGGAGUGUCUAUUAGUGCAGGGUUGCAGUCCCGGGCUACAAGAGCAAGCCAAGCAAUUAAAAGGAACAAAACCAGAUUUUAAUGUGAUACUUGAACUUGAGUAG
rnacentral:rRNA from 1 species